rnacentral:lncRNA from 1 species
CCCUGAAAACCAAUGGUAAGCUGAGAACCCAAUGGCCUUCAUUGAGGAGAUGCUCAAAAGCAAUGAGACCCCUCUGCCACUCUCUGUUCCAAAACCACACUUUCUCAAACAGCUCCUUAAUGCCCUUCUGACCUGACAUGCCUGUUAUAUGGCUGUUUGCACAGCCCAUCUUACCCCAGGGCAAAGAUGUGGGCUGGUGGACUUUGGGGGUAAGAAAGAACCUUAUACAAAGGGUAACACUGGAAGUGAAGGGUCACAGAGGCAGCAGAGGGUGGAAGGUACGGAACAUCUAAGAAAGAAUUAUUCUAUGUGCAUCUGGAAAAGGGACAGAGACUGUCAGACUGCAGCACAGGGAGCAAUGGCUGUGAACUUCAUGCUCACACAGCCUGAGUACCAAUGGGCACCAACUGAAGAACAAGUCAGUGCUUUCUUUAUUACAUGCACGGCAGAAGGCAGCAGCCCCAUCCCAGGCAGCACCAGCCCUGCUAUGUCACAGCCACGUCACCAGGGCAGCCACCAGCUCCAGGAACCACCCUGCCGCUGGCACAGCCAUGUCACAAGAGCACAGCACUGCUGGGGGCUGCGUUCCAGAGCCAGCUUGGUGUCACAGCAGCCUGGAAUGCUGACCAGAAGGGCAGUGCCAGCCAGAGGUGGCUGCUGAGUACCCGAGUGAGCGAGGGCUGUGGGGGGCAGCAGCAGCCCAUGGCCAUGGAUGGCGGCUGCUCCUCCUCUGCCUCACAGCCACACACACGGACAGGGACACAGCAGCACGGCGAGACGCUCCUGUGCUCACCCACGGGACAGAUAAGUCACUCCCAACCCACACCCCACCUCACUCCGACAGGACCCUGGAGGCUCCCCAAGGACCCCCGACUCUACCCCAUUGUUUGCUGCUGCUUCCCUGAGCCAGGACCCCACUGUAGGAGCUGGCAUCAGACAUGCUGAUUGCAGUGACCCUUUCCACUCACGGCUAUAGCACGGGCAGGCAGACCAACAACGGUGAGCAGUGCUGUGCAGGAGAGGGCAGCACAGGGAAGCAGGGCAGGAGGCUGCUCCUUUCUUCCCUCCCCUCUGCCUUGCAGAUGGACAGCCCAACACAAAUGGCACCAGGUGACCAUAAGUGCUGCAGCUCAGCCCUCCAAUCUGGUGCUGGCACCACACCAACUGAUGGCAGAGGCCGUGUCAACGUGGCGUUGGUGACACAGUGAGCCCCAAAUGGCCAAGGAAACCAUUUUCAGACCAGCAACCUGGUGAGCAGGGCUGUGCAGGAGAGAGCAGCACAGGGAAGCAGGGCAGGAGGCUGCUCCUCUCGUCCAUACCCUCUACUUUGCAGAUAGGCAUCAGCACUACGAUGGAACCAGAGCAGGACACACACCUGUCCUCAGCUCUCCAUCUGCUCUCCAUGCCACACAGGACAGAUAAGCCAGCCACAAAAAGUGCCCUUUCCAGGGAUCCCAGCAGGUCCCCAAGAUCCCCCUGCCCGCACCCCGAAGUUUGAUACAGCUUUCCUGAGCCAUGGCCCCACUGCAGGAGCUGGCAUCAGACCUGCUGAUUGCAGUGGCCCCUACCGCACAGCCUUGGGGACACAGUGAGCCCCACAUGGCCAUGGCAAUGUCUGGCAGACCUGCAACCCGGUGAGCAGUGCUGUGCAGGGGAGGGCAGCACAGGGAAGCAGGGCAGGAGGCUGCUCCUUUCUUCCCUCCCCUCUGCCUUGCAGAUGGACAGCCCAACACAAAUGGCACCAGGUGACCAUAAGUGCUGCAGCUCAGCCCUCCAAUCUGCUGUUCAUGGCCCACAAAAAAGAUAAGUCAGCCCCAUACUGCAGCCAGUCGAGCUCCUACAGGACCAUGGAAGCUCCCCAAGGUCCCCCUGGUCUUACCCCAAACCUCUUACUCUGCUAUGCUGAGUCCUGACCCCACUGCAGGUGCUGGCACCACACCAACUGAUGGCAGAGGCCGUGUCAACGUGGUGUUGGUG